ACAACGCUGGGGAGGCACGAAGAGCCCCCAGCUGCAGCUGACUCCCAAUUGUUCUGCUCUGAAACUGCUCUCUGGUAUUUUUUGGAGUUGUUAACAUCCCAUUAGAAGUGUCCUGUUGAGCAGAGCUGGCUGGCAGGGAGCAGGGAGGGUGCACGCCUGGAAGGAACCGCAGCUCUCCCGUUAUGUGAAAGCUGCUCCUUGGACUUCUCCACUUUCCCCUUGGCCAUGUCUCCUGCACCCUCUGUGCUCAAGGGAGGGCUCUGUGCUCUAGUGCAGAACGCUUCCCACCAGGGCUUGAAUCCAUCGGGUUCAUCCUCUACCUCUGCCCAUCACUGCUGGGAAUCACAGAGGUUGGAAAAACUUCAAAGGACAUCGAGUGCAGCCUUUGAAUGAAGCUGCAAAAUCCUUCCUUUCUCCAGAAGGGCCACAGCUCCCAUGGAGAACUCAGCCAGGUCACUGAAACAAACCUCAGACACGCAGGAAAUCAGCCCCUGGUUACCACAGAGCUCCUGGCAGCGUUUAGAGAAUGCCCUUGGCAUGUGGUCCCGACCCAGGGAGAAGGGGACUCCUGGACACUCCGGCUGUGGUGACAGCAUUCCCAGGGAUUGGAUCACACCCUGCAUCCCAGAGGAAUAUCCACCCCAGCAGCACAGGGAGGGCUGGCCCUGUCCUGACCUGUCCAAACCUCAGCCAAAUCCACGAUGCAACCACAACCCUUCAGCAUCAAAGUGCCUCUGGCAGCACCCCCUUGACUCCGUGGGGAACGACACAGCUUCCAAGACUUCAAAAAGCAAGGAGUUGGGCAGAAAAAUGACUUUUUUCCUUUUUUAUUGCAGAGAACGAGGAAAACAUCCCAUUUUCUGAGCACGGCUUGAAUAGGAACAAGUCUGCCUAAAUUCUCUGUGAAUGGAGAUGAAAUCCCAUCGUGUCAGCUGUUUCCAAUCCUGGAAAAUAAUCCGUUGGAAAGGAACAGUUUCAGGCAUGCUGAGCACAGGACAGGGCUGGGGGAGCAGCUAUUAGUGCCACUGGAAGUGGUUCUCAAUUAAAAAAAGCCGAUGACAACAGUUUUCAGAUCAAAAGAAGCCUUUCCACAGGACAUUUUCUUUGCUUGGGCAGAAAUGUUAAUCAAUCAGGCUGAGAGGAGCUGCAGCAAAAAUCAUUUGGUUUGGUACGAGUUUGUGAGUUGGAUUUGGCUCCGAGGACACGGGGUGUUAAACACCCAUUGCUCUUCUAAUGAAAACACCUCUGAGGAAGCAAGGAAGCUUCUCCACAGAUGGGAUUUCAGGAUUUUUCCCCAGGUAAUGGAUUGGCGAAGCACAAACUCUGCUUUGAAAAUGGAGCAAUUUGUUCAACCGCUGCUGCUCAUGGCUGGUUUGGAAAAUCAAAAUAAUGAAGUGUGCUGCGAACAACGUGGCCUUGAAGUGCCUGAUUGCACCAGAGCUUUGGUGGCUCGUGUCUGUCUGCAGCCUUGCACCUCUCCUUGGAUCCCACCUGCCCUCACACACGGCUCUAAGAGAUCUCACAAGGACAUCUGGGUCUGGGGAGCUGUCACAGACAUCUUUUAUGAAAAAUCCUUUCCUUAGGAUUUUUCCUCCUGAGAAGCUGGGAGGCCUCAGGAACAAAGUGUAAACAAUGGUUAUCUGCUGCUGUGGAAUGCAACAGGUGCAUCUGUGAUUGGCCUAUGUUGGAUGUUUCUAAUUAAUGGCCAAUCACAGCCCGGAGAACCUUUG